rnacentral:tRNA from 1 species
CCUUCGAUAGCUCAGUUGGUAGAGCGGUGGACUGUAGAUGAAAUCAAUUCAGGGUUGAUAUCCAUAGGUCGUUGGUUCAAAUCCGGCUCGAAGGA